rnacentral:tRNA from 1 species
GCGCGUGUGGUCUAGUGCCUAAGACGCCUGCUUGCCAGGCAGGAAAUCGCGGGUUGAAGUCCCGCCACGCGCUCCA